rnacentral:tRNA from 1 species
UGGGGCGUGGUCAAGCGGUAAGACGUCUGGUUCUGGACCAGAAGAUCGAAGGUUCGAAUCCUUCCGCCCCAGCCA